GGGUCGGGGUUUCGUACGUAGCA
rnacentral:piRNA from 4 species